AAAUGGCAACAUGUCUCCUAGGAAAUGCAAUAGCAAUUCGAUAAUUAAUUGAGAGACAAAAUAGUCUCCUAAAAGAAAAAAAAAGUACGUUGAUUAUACCAGGCGAUCGUAAGGCAUUUUCUAUUCUCCUCCUCCCUCUACUUGUCGACGUUUUUUCUUCAAUGUCCUGUUCUUUACUGUGUUAAAUAGCCAUGUUCACACUUAGGUGGAAAUACCUCUCUCUCUUUGAUGGACGAAUGCACACAAAACAUCCAGAACCAAAAACACCUUUCUUCUUACAAACUUCUGCCCUUGUUUAAGCCAUUUGAUGCUUAAGCUACUGAAAUUACUUGAAGGCUUUCCGUCUGUUGUUUGGCCCGGACGCACCGGAUUAACGGCCGUCUACUGUCACAGCUUACUUCACGUUACAGCUUACUUAUAAGGUUACUUAUGAACAGAGCAAAUGGGAUCUUGUUUUCACCAAUGAACGAUUGUUUGUUUUUUUUUCGUUUUCUUUUUUGUAACGAAGUUUACGGUCGUCCGAGGGU